UCGAACGUGGUGUACGGUGCACGGCCCUGCGUUAUAGAACAGAAAGAAUUGAAUCUCAGGGCAGGACGGGGUUCGACUCCCCGCGUUCGAA